rnacentral:lncRNA from 1 species
UCGGUCUGGCCGUCUUUGACCGAAUUCAGCCGACUUUAUACAUAUUCUUGUGAAAAAACACGUUAGGGUUCCUUAGUUGGCCGAAAAAAUCAAAAAACAGAAACAUAGCGGUCGUGGAGUUUUUCGGGUGCGGCGACUUCGUCGGCUCACAUUCGCAGCUGAGAUUUUUUCUUCGGUCAACCUGUAAAAAAUAGAACGGUGAACACAACGGUAGAAAAAUCACACGAAAUAAAAAAUGAGAAGGAGCUCAUCAAAAGAGGUUACGGGUUUUACCCGCGGCAGCUCCGUCAGGCUUUGCCUGCGGUUUCCAGCACACUCGCCGUUUGUUUUGUUUUGAUAUGGCCACAAGAGUGCUCAGAAUCGAAUUUUGAGCGGGUAUGAGAAUUUUUACCUUUUUUGGCAGUUAGAGGUGGCUCCGGUACGGCGGUCGGUUUCCUUCUCCAGUGUCUGGUUCUUCUUCUCCGGCGGGAAGCUUGCGGCUAGGGUUCGGAUUUAGUGUGAUAUAAAAUAUUUAUACUCAUCUGGCAUU